UACGUAGGGGGCUAGCGUUGUCCGGAAUCAUUGGGCGUAAAGAGCGUGUAGGCGGUCCGGUAAGUCCGCUGUGAAAGUCGGGGGCUCAACCUCGAAUGCCGGUGGAUACUGUCGGGCUAGAGUGCGGAAGAGGCGAGUGGAAUUCCUGGUGUACGCGGUGAAAUGGCGCAGAUAUCGGGAGGAACACCAAUGGCGAAGGCAGCUUGCUGGGACGGUAC
rnacentral:rRNA from 1 species